rnacentral:rRNA from 1 species
GAUGAACGCUGGCGGCGUGCCUAAUACAUGCAAGUCGAGCGAACGGACGAGAAGCUUGCUUCUCUGAUGUUAGCGGCGGACGGGUGAGUAACACGUGGAUAACCUACCUAUAAGACUGGGAUAACUUCGGGAAACCGGAGCUAAUACCGGAUAAUAUUUUGAACCGCAUGGUUCAAAAGUGAAAGACGGUCUUGCUGUCACUUAUAGAUGGAUCCGCGCUGCAUUAGCUAGUUGGUAAGGUAACGGCUUACCAAGGCAACGAUGCAUAGCCGACCUGAGAGGGUGAUCGGCCACACUGGAACUGAGACGCGGUCCAGACUCCUACGAGAGGCAGCAGUAGGGAAUCUUACGCAAUGGGCGAAAGCCUGACGGAGCAACGCCGCGUGAGUGAUGAAGGUCUUCGGAUCGUAAAACUCUGUUAUUAGGGAAGAACAUAUGUGUAAGUAACUGUGCACAUCUUGACGGUACCUAAUCAGAAAGCCACGGCUAACUACGUG